GACGCGGGACAACAAACAAAAGAAAUAAAGCCGGGAAAAGAAAGAAGCCUAGAAGAAGAAGAAAGCCAAAGAAGAGAAGAGAGGAGAGUAAGGAGAUGCAAAAUCUGCAAUUUUCAUUAAUCAUCAAUAAUGUCAUGUCUCAAAAUGAUAGAACAUAUAAAUAGUAAACCUUAGGACAUCCCACUAUUGGGCUCGGCCCAUCAAAUUAAACUGUUUAACAUAAAUAAUAAAAUGACAAUGAGCAGGCCCAAAUGGGCUAAAUAAAUAAAAGUACAAUGAAAUAGGCCCAAAUGGACUUAGGCCUCCAACCAAAGCGUGAUGGGCUGGGCCAUCCCACGUCGCCUCCGUCCAUAUACUCGUGUAGUUUGUGGUGUGGGUCUGGUGUCCCCACCAACUCUCCCGGGGUUAGAGAAACUCGACCCUGUCGAGUGUAAUACUGGCCGACUCUGAUAGUACUCCCAAAGAUCUGGAUCAAGCUGCUGCAAAGUAUCUCUAGUAAUCCAAGUGCAAUCUGAGUCAGGGCGACCCACCCAACGAACUAGAAACCGUUGAACCUCGCCAUUCCUGUUAAAAACAACUUGUUCAUCCAAAAUAGCAUCAAUAUUAUCCUUUUGUGCUGAUGUCAAGGUGAAAGGGAUAGAGGUUUCAAUAGGAUCAUCAAGAGGGGAGUUAAGUGGUAUCUCAAAUGGAUCAUCUGGGAUAGGAAGUGGUUUGUGGUAGGCAACUAGAUCCUCAAUAUUAAAUGUAGAGCUAAUGCCAAAAUCAUGUGGUAAAUCAAGAACAUAAGCAUUUGGACCAAUUCGUUGUAGCACUUUGAAAGGCCCGGCACUGCGCGCAUGUAAUUUUCGAUUAGCUCCCGAAGGAAACCGCUCAGGUCUAACCCGUAUCAUAACAUAGUCUCCCACAUUAAACUCAUUAUGUCGUCUAUGUAAAUCAGCUUGAAGUUUAUAAUGCGCAUUACUUGAUUGAAUCUGUUUAGUGAUCUCAAUAUGCAAAUCCUGAAUUCUACGUGCAAAAGACUCGGCUGACUCAGACACUUUAGCAUGAAGGGACAUAGGAAGAAGGUCUAAAGGUUUCCUAGGCUUGUAACCAUGUACAACUUCAAAGGGACUCAUGCCUAUUGACCUAUUGAUAGAGCUAUUAUAGGCAAACUGGGCCGUAGGAAGAAUCAGAUCCCAAUUCCGAUUAUGAUCAUUCACUAGACACCUUAAAAGGUUGCCCAAACUCCUGUUAACCACCUCAGUUUGACCAUCAGUUUGGGGGUGGUAAGCAGUAGAAAACUUCAAUUUAGUGCCCACCAUAUGCCAAAGGGUUUUCCAGAAAUAGCUUGUGAAUCUAACAUCCCUAUCCGACACUAUGGUUUGAGGAAGACCAUACAACUUGACAAUCUCGUCAAAAUAGAGUUUUGCAACUUUGGAGGCAUCUGUGGUCUUAGUACAAGGAAUAAAAUGGGCCAUCUUAGAGAAGCGGUCGACAACCACAAAAAUAGAAUCAUGUUUCUUCACAGUACGUGGAAGCCCAAGCACAAAAUCCAUGCUCACAUCUUGCCAAGGGCAAGUAGGAACGGGCAAUGGGGUGUAAAGACCAGUAUUUUGUUUCCUAUGCUUAGCGAGUUGGCAAGUUCGACAUUGACCUAUCAAUUUGGCGACAUCUCUCUUCAAGCUAGACCAAAAAAAUUGGCGUUCCACUUCUUCAAUGGUUUUAUUCCUUCCAAAAUGUCCUAAGAGACCUCCAGCAUGAAUCUCCCAUAUCAAAAAGUCACGCACAGAUGUUUUCGGGAUACAAAGCUUAUUAUCCCGAAAUAAGUACCCAUCUUGGAGGUGAUAACCAUUUAUAGCACGAUGACUCUCAUCCUUCAAUGUCAAGUAUAUUUCUCCAAAUUCUGAGCAAGAUUCAUACUCCUCUUUGAGUCUUUCAAAUCCUGUGACUUCAACACUCAUUACGGAUAACAGCGUUACCCGACGACUCAAAGCAUCUGCAGCCUUAUUCUCUAUUCCAGAUUUAUGUUUCAAAACAAAUGAGUAUGCCUGCAAAUAUUCAACCCAAUGACCAUGCCUAUGAUUAAGCUUCUUUUGGGAGUUAAGAUAGCGGAGGGCCUCAUGGUCGGAGUAAAGAACAAACUCCUGUGGUAGCAAGUAAUGGCGCCAAUAACGCAAGGCCUGAACCACCGCAUAAAACUCCUUAUCAUAAGUUGAGUACUUUUGUUUUGCCUCAUUAAGCUUCUCACUAAAGUAGGCUACAGGGUGACGUUCCUGACUAAGUACUCCACCUAUACCGACUCCCGAAGCAUCACAUUCUACUUCAAACACUUUAGUAAAAUCAGGUAGCCGCAUUACUGGGGCCUCCGUCAUUUUCUUCUUAACCUCCUCAAAUGCCCUAUUAGCUCCUUUACUCCACUUAAACUCACCUUGUUUCAAACAAUCUGUAAUAGGUGACAUGAUGGUGCUAAAUCCCUUAAUAAAACGACGAUAGAAAGUCGCAAGCCUAUGAAAACUACGAACCUCAUGAAUAGUCUUAGGCUCAGGCCAAUCUACUAUCGCUUGGACUUUCUGGGGGUCAGCAGAGACUCCUUUCCAUGACACUAUAAACCCUAAAAAGACCACUUGAUCUGUAAAGAAAGAACACUUUUUGACAUUUGCAAACAAACUGGCCUUUCUUAGGGUGGUACAAACUUGGAUAAGAUGAUCGAAAUGUUCUUCCUUGAUUUUGCUAUAAAUAAGAAUAUCAUCAAAGUAUACCACCAAGAACUUUCCCAUAAAUGGCCGAAGCACUUGUGUCAUUACUCUCAUAAAAGUGCUAGGUGCAUUGGAAAGGCCAAAAGGCAUGACUAACCAUUCAUAUAAACCAUCUUUAGUCUUAAAGGCUGUUUUCCAUUCAUCGCCCGGACGGAUCCUAAUCUGAUGAUACCCACUCUUCAAGUCAAUCUUAGAGAAGAGCUGGGCUCCUGCCAUCAUAUCUAGCAUGUCAUCCAAUCGAGGAAUUGGAAAACGAUACUUGAUUGUAAUCCUAUUGAUGGCUCGACUGUCAACACACAUUCUCCACGAUCCAUCUUUCUUGGGUGUUAACAGUGCAGGUACCGCACAAGGGCUCAAACUCUCGCGUAUAAAUCCCUUGUGUAACAACUCACCUAUUUGUCUUUGCAAUUCAGCAUGUUCACUCGGGUUCAUCCUAUAGUGAGGCAAGUUUGGUAGUGUGGCCCCAGGGACAAAAUCUAUGGCAUGUUGAACAUCACGCAUAGGGGGUAAAACAUCAGGUAGUUCAGAAGGGAAAACAUCUAGAAAUUCUUUCAACACUUCUCUUACCUCUUCAGGGGGCUCCUCUAAAAAGUCUUCUACAAUCUCUUUAGCCACUACAGCAAACACAACAGCCUCCUCACAAAUCUCCUUAUCAAACUCCCUAGGACUUAUUAUGUUAAGCCCUCCUUCUCUCACUUUAUUCUUCUUCUGACUAUUAUCAUUAGGCCUUGGAGGUAACCCAAUAAGUUGGAUUUUUUUACCUUGAAAAGUGAAUGAGCAAGAAUUUGAUCGUCCAAAGAUUGUAACGUCCAAAUCAUACAACCAAGGCCUACCCAAAAUGACGUGCCCUACGUCCAUGGGGAUGACAUCACACCAAAUUUCAUCAUGAUAAUCAAAAAUCUUAAUGGGAAAAAGACAUCUCUCUUUGACCGCUAUAGCUGUAUCAUUAACCCAAGACACACUAUAGGGUUUAGGGUGUGGAACAGACUUUAAGCCCAAGCGGGAUACACUACUCAAGGAAACUGCAUUGAUACAACUACCACUGUCUAUGAUGAUCUUACACCCUUUAUCUCCACAUUUAAUGUAAGUGUAAAAAAUAGCAGUCCUUCUCCAAUCCUCAGUUCCUUUAGGUUGUGUUAAAGCACAUCUAACCACACCUAACCUAGUUGUCUUGAUUUGAGUGGAUAUAGACCUAACACAACCUAGUAAGUUAGACUCAUCAUCCUCGUCAUUUAGAUCUUGAAAAUCAUCGGGAUUGGGCUCAUAUAUCUUAUCAUCACAGUUAUCUUCUUCGCCCAUAGCCUCUUGCUCUUUGAUGAACAAAGUCUUAUUAGGGCAGCUAGAGGAGAUAUGGCCAAAACCCUAACACUUCAAACACUGAAUUCUGGAAGUUUUAGGUGCUUCAUGAAAAAUACCCUUACCCUUGUCUUCUUUAGGUAUUUGGGAAAUCAAAGGAUUGGGCUUACGAGGUGGGGCACCUAAUAUGGAGUUAUUACUACCAGGUUGAGACCUAUAAGGGGUAUUACGAGUGUCCUGACGUCUUGUCCACUGACUUUUUGUGACCAAGUCAUAAUUUUGUACUAAGGUAUAAGCCUCGUCAAGGGUGGAAACACCCCUAAGCACGAGCUCUCUCCUAAGGUCAUCAUUUAAACCUUUUCGAAAUCUACUCAGAGUCAUCACUUCAUCCUCCCUAACUGCACACUUCAUCCUAUACUCGUCAAAUUGUGCCACAUAGUCAUUAGCAGACUUGCCUCCUUGCCUCAAGUUAUUCCACUGGUCCAAAAGAUUUCCUCUAUAAGAACGAGGCAAGUACUUUUCUUCUAAUUUAGUCUUCAUUUCAACCCAGUCAGUAAUAGGGGGUUGACCUCUCCUAUUCAAAGACUCUUCUACACUUUCCCAAUAGAGCUGAGCGGUCCCACUAAGUUUCAUCUUCGCAAAUCUUACCCUUCUAUUCUCAGACAGAUUAUACCAGCUAAAGAAUUGAUCCAUGUCACGGAUCCAUCUAUCAAAAAUCCACGGGUCAAGUUGACCCUCAAAAGUUGGGGCUUCCACCUUGAUGUGCCUCAUGACGCGCUCAUCAGGGUCAUCAUAGUCUUGAUGGCCCUGAUUGCGGUUGUAUUGACGGUUCCUAGGAUGAGCUGGUCUUUGACGAUAAUCAUUGGAACGCUCACUAUCCUGAGGGUCAUGAAAGUCAUUGUGGCCCUGGUGUUGGUUAUGGUGGCGGUUCCUACGAAGAACUGGUCUUUGAGGAUUUCUAUGGUUGUCACUAGAAUGCUCACUCUCACUAGACGGUCUUAUUUGUAAAGUUUCUAUGGACUCCACCCUCCCAGAAAGGUUGUUCAUUUGAUUGGACAAGUUGCUCAUUUCCGUUCGCAUAAGUUGUAAUUGUUCUUGAAUAUCUCUAAGAACAUUACUGGAGUUCGGGUCCAUGGUAGUUGUGACUUCUAGAUUGUGUACUAGACGACCACUACGUAAAUGCAUGCAAAACUAAUCCUAAAACUGAGAUCACCAACUAACACUUGCAAGUAAAACGCAAAAUAAAAUUAUAGCUAGUACCAUAGAAAAUAAAAAAAUAAAAAGAAAAAUAAAAUAAAAAUAAAAAUAAAAAUUAGAAUAAAGAAAAUAAUUUUUUUUUUAUUUUUUUUUAAUUAACUUGGAGACUAAGUAAUGACAGAUUAAACCAGAAAAAUGCGCAAGCAAGCAGUGUAAGUCCUCUAAAUGCACACAAAUAAUCCCAACACAAUGUUUCAGUUUUCCCACUAAUUUACUCAAGCUCCACAAUUAAUCAAGAGGAUCAAAUCUUCAAUGCUAAACCAGCUCAAAAUUAAGGUAAUUUAAUUUAGUUAUGGGCAAGCACAAAAAAUAAUAUUAAUGCUAAAUCUUGGUUAACAAGUGUUAAAAAAAACAUACCAGGAAUGAUGAUUUUCAAUGGGUAAAAAUUCUGACCGUAUGAUGUGGCAGCGAAGGAUUACGUGGCAGCUGACGUGGCAGGAUAUACUGAUGGGGCAGAUGAUGUGGCAGGGGAAGCUGACGUGGUAGAGAUAAUGACGUGGCAGCGACGUGGCAAGAUCUGCUGACGUGUCAGGUGACACUGAUGCUGACGUGGCGCUGACGUGUCUAGGUUAAUUAUAUUCUCAGCUGUGGUUUUCUUUCUUUCUUCCUUGCUUCCCUAGCUUCUGUGACCCGUUGCCGCCGCUGUCGGUGAUGGCUCGCUCCGUGUUCUUGCUUGGGGCCAGCGGCGCGAGGGGAGGAGGUGGUGGUGUCUGGUGUUGCUGCUGGGCGGGGCUGUUGAUCCGGUGUCGCUGCUGGGCGUGGGUUGCUGCCGAAGGUGAGGGCGCUGUGGAUGGUGGGUCGCCGCUGGUGCUGUUGCUGGGGUGCGAUUGAUGGCGUUGCUGGUUAGCAACGCUGGAACCGACGACAGAGAGCUACGGUGGCUGCGGCGCUGCGGGUUGUUGAAGGCAGUAACUCGGCGUGGGCUUGCGAUCGAUGGCUGUGAUCGGUGUUGAGGACGACACUGGCGGAGGCGCUGCCUUUGCUGCUGUAAACCCGAACCGAUGUUGGCUGUGAUGGGUGUUGUGGGUAGCGGCGUCCAGUUUGAUGAUGGAGACGAUGAACAGUGUACAGUGAACAGUAGCUUCUUCUAAUCAGAACAAUAGGAUUUUUUUUUGUUUUUUUUUUUGUUGGAUCGUUUAAUUGUAAGAACAAUUAAAAGCCAUGCUCUGAUACCAAAUUUGACGCGGGACAACAAACAAAAGAAAUAAAGCCGGGAGAAGAAAGAAGCCUAGAAGAAGAAGAAAGCCAAAGAAGAGAAGAGAGGAGAGUAAGGAGAUGCAAAAUCUGCAAUUUUCAUUAAUCAUCAAUAAUGUCAUGUCUCAAAAUGAUAGAACAUAUAAAUAGUAAACCUUAGGACAUCCCACUAUUGGGCUCGGCCCAUCAAAUUAAACUGUUUAACAUAAAUAAUAAAAUGACAAUGAGCAGGCCCAAAUGGGCUAAAUAAAUAAAAGUACAAUGAAAUAGGCCCAAAUGGACUUAGGCCUCCAACCAAAGCGUGAUGGGCUGGGCCAUCCCACGUCGCCUCCGUCCAUAUACUCGUGUAGUUUGUGGUGUGGGUCUGGUGUCCCCACCAG
rnacentral:lncRNA from 1 species